CUUGUGUGGAAAGGAAACAAGACUGACAGUUUGUAGGGGAAGGGCCCAACUGGGAGUGGCAGUUGGGUCUUGUGACUAGCACUUCCUUCCUGCCAAGUGGAACUGGCUUCCUGGUGUUGGAGGAGAGAGGAGCUUGUUCAGCCCAGUCUGGUGUGGUGUGCCUCUUUCUUUCUUGGUUCAGCCUGAAGAUUCAAGUCCAAUCUCUUCUGAAGAUUAGGAAACUGAAGCAAACAUUUACUGACUUGCUCAAGAUCACACAACUAGGACUGUGGUGUAAAGGGGAAGAGGACUGUGCCACCACAUUUUGGAUG
rnacentral:lncRNA from 1 species